GAUGAACGCUGGCGGCGUGCCUAAUACAUGCAAGUCGAGCGAACAGACGAGGAGCUUGCUCCUCUGACGUUAGCGGCGGACGGGUGAGUAACACGUGGAUAACCUACCUAUAAGACUGGGAUAACUUCGGGAAACCGGAGCUAAUACCGGAUAAUAUAUUGAACCGCAUGGUUCAAUAGUGAAAGACGGUUUUGCUGUCACUUAUAGAUGGAUCCGCGUCGCAUUAGCUAGUUGGUAAGGUAACGGCUUACCAAGGCGACGAUGCGUAGCCGACCUGAGAGGAUGAUCGGCCACACUGGAACUGAGACACGGUCCAGACUCCUACGGGAGGCAGCAGUAGGGAAUCUUCGGCAAUGGGCGAAAGCCUGACGGAGCAACGCCGCGUGAGUGAAGAAGGUCUUCGGAUCGUAAAACACUGUUAUUAGGGAAGAACAAAUGUGUAAGUAACUAUGCACGUCUUGACGGUACCUAAACAGAAAGCCACGGCUAACUACGUG
rnacentral:rRNA from 1 species